UUCAUCUUCUCGGAGCUGCUGUCCAACCU
rnacentral:piRNA from 1 species